rnacentral:rRNA from 2 species
CGCCUGGGGAGUACGGCCGCAAGGUUAAAACUCAAAUGAAUUGACGGGGGCCCGCACAAGCGGUGGAGCAUGUGGUUUAAUUCGAUGCAACGCGAAGAACCUUACCUGGUCUUGACAUCCACGGAAGUUUUCAGAGAUGAGAAUGUGCCUUCGGGAACCGUGAGACAGGUGCUGCAUGGCUGUCGUCAGCUCGUGUUGUGAAAUGUUGGGUUAAGUCCCGCAACGAGCGCAACCCUUAUCCUUUGUUGCCAGCGAUUAGGUCGGGAACUCAAAGGAGACUGCCAGUGAUAAACUGGAGGAAGGUGGGGAUGACGUCAAGUCAUCAUGGCCCUUACGACCAGGGCUACACACGUGCUACAAUGGCGCAUACAAAGAGAAGCGACCUCGCGAGAGCAAGCGGACCUCAUAAAGUGCGUCGUAGUCCGGAUUGGAGUCUGCAACUCGACUCCAUGAAGUCGGAAUCGCUAGUAAUCGUGGAUCAGAAUGCCACGGUGAAUACGUUCCCGGGCCUUGUACACACCGCCCGUCACACCAUGGGAGUGGGUUGCAAAAGAAGUAGGUAGCUUAACCUUCGGGAGGGCGCUUACCACUUUGUGAUUCAUGACUGGGGUGAAGUCGUAACAAGGUAACCGUAGGGGAACCUGCGGUUG